AUAGCAUCGUGAGAUGAAUGAUUUAUCAAUAAAAUCAUUUACAAUUGCAGUUAAGUGUUAAAAGUGUUUGUGUCUAACAUAGUGAACCGUCACAGUGCCGUGAAAAGACAAUUUUUAUCGUAUAUUAGUGUCGAAUUGAAUAAUAUAUUAUUAACAGUGCUUGGAAUUACAGUAUCGAUUAGACUGCUCAACUUUAUAAACUUUUUCAAAAUCUUUUAUAUGAGCUUUGAUAUACACAAUAGCCUAAAUGAAUUUGUAUCUUAACACGUUUUGAUAUUGAGUAUGAUUAGUCACUAUUUAUACAGUUGCGUGCGUGUUGUGUGCCCGAGAAGAUAAAAAAAAUGAAAAUGAAUGCAUUCCAGACUAUUUAUUAUCUUUGUUCUUCUUGGCGCGGCCACGCACUGCCCGCUUUCUCUCUGUAGCCACACUGUUCCUCGGCCCUAUAUGUAAUAUGACGUAGAGUUUUCCAUAGAGCAUUUUGUCUAUGAUUAAUGUUGUUGAGCUGCGUGCCACCAGCCAGUAUUUAGACGAGACGUAGAGGCGAGAUCUUACAAAGUAAUGAUAGGUUCUUUGUUAUUUAGUUAGCUAACUUUUGUAAAUAACUAAAUGGAAUAAACAUUUUAUUAUUUAAUUUGUAAUAUUUGUGUGAUCAGACUGUUACUCUAUGAUUUAUUUGUUACAAGUGAGUUGUUACUUUAUGAACAAUCAAACAUAUCUGUUAGGUAAAUAGAUUUUUUUAUUUAUCCUUUUUGACUGGUUUGUUUACUUAUAAUUUUAAAUGAAUUUAAUCUAGUGAAUGUAUCCAUUAUAAAUCGUUAUAUAUUCCUCAUAAUAAUUAUAAUAAUUAUACUCCAUUACUUCUAAAAACUUCAUUCUAUUUAUGCCUAUGUAGCUAUGUGUCUGUAACCAUGAUAUGUGUAAAGUAUGAUAUGUGAUGAAAUGUUACUGCAUUCAAUACUGGUUGUAAAGUGAAACUAUUUAAAAUAAAGUAACAGAAAUAAAUUA